rnacentral:rRNA from 1 species
GGACCCGCACAAGUAGUGGAGCAUGUGGUUUAAUUCGAAGAUACGCGCAGAACCUUACCAGGGUUUGACAUCCUGCGAAUCUCUUGGAAACGAGAGAGUGCCUUCGGGAACGCAGUGACAGGUGGUGCAUGGCUGUCGUCAGCUCGUGUCGUGAGAUGUUGGGUUAAGUCCCGCAACGAGCGCAACCCACGUCUUUAGUUGCCAGCAUUUAGUUGGGCACUCUAGAGAGACUGCCGGUGAUAAACCGGAGGAAGGUGUGGAUGACGUCAAGUCAUCAUGCCCCUUACAUCCUGGGCUACACACGUACUACAAUGCUACGGACAAAGGGCUGCAAGUUCGCGAGGACAAGCAAAUCCCAUAAACCGUGGCUCAGUUCAGAUCGUAGGCUGCAACUCGCCUACGUG